rnacentral:rRNA from 1 species
AAUAGAUACCCACGGUAGUCCACGCCGUAAACGAUGAGUGCUAAGUGUUAGAGGGUUUCCGCCCUUUAGUGCUGCAGCUAACGCAUUAAGCACUCCGCCUGGGGAGUACGGCCGCAAGGCUGAAACUCAAAGGAAUUGACGGGGGCCCGCACAAGCGGUGGAGCAUGUGGUUUAAUUCGAAGCAACGCGAAGAACCUUACCAGGUCUUGACAUCCUCUGCCAACCCUAGAGAUAGGGCGUUCCCCUUCGGGGGACAGAGUGACAGGUGGUGCAUGGUUGUCGUCAGCUCGUGUCGUGAGAUGUUGGGUUAAGUCCCGCAACGAGCGCAACCCUUGAUCUUAGUUGCCAGCAUUCAGUUGGGCACUCUAAGGUGACUGCCGGUGACAAACCGGAGGAAGGUGGGGAUGACGUCAAAUCAUCAUGCCCCUUAUGACCUGGGCUACACACGUGCUACAAUGGAUGGUACAAAGAGCUGCGAACCCGCGAGGGUAAGCGAAUCUCAUAAAGCCAUUCUCAGUUCGGAUUGUAGG